rnacentral:tRNA from 1 species
UCACAGGUGGUUUAGUGGUAGAAUUUUUGCUUUCCAGGCAGGAGACCCAGGUUCAAUCCCCAGCCAAUGAC